rnacentral:rRNA from 1 species
AGUGAACGCUGGCGGUAGGCCUAACACAUGCAAGUCGAACGGCAGCACAGAAGAGCUUGCUCUUACGGGUGGCGAGUGGCGGGCGGGUGAGGAAUACAUCGGAAUCUACUUUUUCGUGGGGGAUAACGGAGGGAAACUUACGCUAAUACCGCAUACGACCUACGGGUGAAAGCAGGGGAUCUUCGGACCUUGCGCGAUUGAAUGAGCCGAUGUCGGAUUAGCUAGUUGGCGGGGUAAAGGCCCACCAAGGCGACGAUCCGUAGCUGGUCUGAGAGGAUGAUCAGCCACACUGGAACUGAGACACGGUCCAGACUCCUACGGGAGGCAGCAGUGGGGAAUAUUGGACAAUGGGCGCAAGCCUGAUCCAGCCAUACCGCGUGGGUGAAGAAGGCCUUCGGGUUGUAAAGCCCUUUUGUUGGGAAAGAAAAGCAGCAGGUUAAUACCCCGCUGUUCUGACGGUACCCAAAGAAUAAGCACCGGCUAACUUCGUG